GAUUAUUUUCAGUCAUCUAUUUGAAAAGGUGAAUUUUUCCCGAAAUAUUAUUUAAUGAUAUCAUAAAACUAAUAAAAAAAAAUAAACAAAAAGGCAUGAGAAUUUCAUCACAAAAAUUAAAUAUAACGAUCCAAUAAUAUUUCAGGUAAGAUUCCCCUCUUCCAAAAGAAAAAGAACAUAGUACAGAGGACUGCCAUAACAACACAUUUCUUUGAAUCCUGUGAUUUACAAAAAUUGAAAAAAAGAUCCAAUAUUUCAGGUAAGAUUCCCCUUUUCAAAUAGAAAAAGAAAUACAACAGUAGACUGCUAAUAACAACACAUUUCUUUGAACUCUGAUUGUUUUCAGUCAUCUAUUUGAAAAGGUGAAUUUUUUCCCGAAAUAUUAUUUAAUGAUAUCAUAAAACUAUAAAAAAAUAAACAAAAACUCAUGAGAAUUUCAUUAUAAAAAUUAAAUAUAACGAUCCAAUAAUAUUUCAGGUAAGAUUCCCCUCUUCCAAAAGAAAA